GACGAACCGCGCGAACGUUGUUCGGAAUCACUGGGCUUAAAGGGCGCGUAGGCGGGCUGCCGCGUCCGGGGUGAAAUCCCACGGCUCAACCGUGGAACGGCCCCGGGUACGGGCGGCCUCGAGGGGGGUAGGGGCGUGCGGAACUGUGGGUGGAGCGGUGAAAUGCGUUGAUAUCGGAAGGAACGCCGGUGGCGAAAGCGACGCACUGGACCUCUUCUGACGCUGAGGCGCGAAAGCUAGGGGAGCAAACGGG
rnacentral:rRNA from 1 species